rnacentral:rRNA from 1 species
GACGAACGCUGGCGGCGUGCUUAACACAUGCAAGUCGAACGGAAAGGCCCUGCUUUUGUGGGGUGCUCGAGUGGCGAACGGGUGAGUAACACGUGAGUAACCUGCCCUUGACUUUGGGAUAACUUCACGAAACUGGGGCUAAUACCGGAUAGGAGCUCCUGCUGCAUGGUGGGGGUUGGAGAGUUUCGGCGGUUCGGGAUGGACUCGCGGCUUAUCCGCUUGUUGGUGGGGUAGUGGCUGACCAAGGCUUUGACGGGUAGCCUGCCUGAGAGGGUGACCGGCGACAAUGGGACUGAGAUACGGCCCAGACGGCUACGGGACGCAGCAGUGGGGAAUAUUGCACAAUGGGCGGAAGCCUGAUGUAGAAACGUCGCGUUCGGGAUGACGGCCUUCGGGUUGUAAACCGCUUUCGCCUGUGACGAAGCGUGAGUGACGGUAAUGGGUAAAGAAGCAACGGCUAACUACGUG